rnacentral:rRNA from 1 species
UACGGAGAGUGCAAACGUUGCUCGGAAUCAUUGGGCGUAAAGCGCACGUAGGCGGACCGCUAAGUCGGAUGUGAAAGCCCUCGGCUUAACCGAGGAAGUGCAUUCGAAACUGACAGUCUUGAGUAUGGAAGAGGGUCGCGGAAUUCCCGGUGUAGAGGUGAAAUUCGUAGAUAUCGGGAGGAACACCAGUGGCGAAGGCGGCGACCUGGGCCAAUACUGACGCUGAGGUGCGAAAGCGCGGGGAGCAAACAGG